rnacentral:lncRNA from 1 species
CAGUUAUGUUUAACGUUUCUAAGUUUGAUCUGUUUAAUAUGUUCUUCUGCGGAUAUUUCUUAUGGUUCUUGAGUUGUCUGAUCUGAUUUAUGAGUUAAUUUGAUAGUCCAUUGCAGGUUUCUUCUGUGGUUGAUCAUAAUACUUGAUAAAUGAAAAGAUCUUGAUACAUCUUCGUUCUGAUGCAACAUGGAGGGUCCAUUUACAUCGUGCAAGCUUGAGCACACUUUAUGUUGCCUAGCAAUUUGUUAAUUUAUUGGUGAGUUCUCUAAAGAAUUUAUCUAUGCACGUACGAAAUAUACGAUCCCCGAACAUCUAUUUUUUUACUUUUUAAUGUUUAUGGCUACUAUAUAUAAUGCUUCCUGUUAAUUUGAUUCUAUUGCACAACAUCUUAUCUGCAGAGAUAUCCUUAGGUGGUCGAAAACUUUAGUUAGCUAGGGUGGUCGGCAUGUAAACUUUACCAGUGAGACAGGAGUUGCAGACCUGUUCUUGAGACUUGCUCAUUCUCUUCAAGAGUAUCCAACAAAGGGACAAGCCUUAGAAUUCAUGAAAGAAGACGAGCCUCCAAUCUCAAUGAUAAUUUACCUGUAAAUUUAAGAUUAGAAAUUGUAAAAAGCAAUCAAAGUCAUGGAAGUUUUAAGCCUCAUUUUUUGAAGGGUAAUUUUUUCAUUUCUAUGUUUUUCUCAUCUUCCUUCAAAGUCAGUAUGCAGAGUCUCUCUAGAUUAUAGAACUCAAAAAAUUAAGAUGAGAGUCAUCUUUGUUUUAUUUAUAUAUAUUAGGACAUUUCUUUGUGCCAUUACGUAAUCAUGGCUUUGCUAAUUUAUUCUGCAGUUAAUUGAUCUGAUUGUAGCUAUAUCUACUUUGUGGUGUAUUUU